AUGAACGCUAGCUACAGGCUUAACACAUGCAAGUCGAGGGGCAUCAGGAAGAAAGCUUGCUUUCUUUGCUGGCGACCGGCGCACGGGUGAGUAACACGUAUCCAACCUGCCCUUUACUCGGGGAUAGCCUUUCGAAAGAAAGAUUAAUACCCGAUAGCAUAAUGAUUCCGCAUGGUUUCAUUAUUAAAGGAUUCCGGUAAAGGAUGGGGAUGCGUUCCAUUAGGUUGUUGGUGAGGUAACGGCUCACCAAGCCUUCGAUGGAUAGGGGUUCUGAGAGGAAGGUCCCCCACAUUGGAACUGAGACACGGUCCAAACUCCUACGGGAGGCAGCAGUGAGGAAUAUUGGUCAAUGGGCGCUAGCCUGAACCAGCCAAGUAGCGUGAAGGAUGAAGGCUCUAUGGGUCGUAAACUUCUUUUAUAUAAGAAUAAAGUGCAGUAUGUAUACUGUUUUGUAUGUAUUAUAUGAAUAAGGAUCGGCUAACUCCGUGCCAGCAGCCGCGGUAAUACGGAGGAUCCGAGCGUUAUCCGGAUUUAUUGGGUUUAAAGGGAGCGUAGGUGGACUGGUAAGUCAGUUGUGAAAGUUUGCGGCUCAACCGUAAAAUUGCAGUUGAUACUGUCAGUCUUGAGUACAGUAGAGGUGGGCGGAAUUCGUGGUGUAGCGGUGAAAUGCUUAGAUAUCACGAAGAACUCCGAUUGCGAAGGCAGCUCACUGGACUGCAACUGACACUGAUGCUCGAAAGUGUGGGUAUCAAACAGGAUUAGAUACCCUGGUAGUCCACACAGUAAACGAUGAAUACUCGCUGUUUGCGAUAUACAGUAAGCGGCCAAGCGAAAGCAUUAAGUAUUCCACCUGGGGAGUACGCCGGCAACGGUGAAACUCAAAGGAAUUGACGGGGGCCCGCACAAGCGGAGGAACAUGUGGUUUAAUUCGAUGAUACGCGAGGAACCUUACCCGGGCUUAAAUUGCAGUGGAAUGAUGUGGAAACAUGUCAGUGAGCAAUCACCGCUGUGAAGGUGCUGCAUGGUUGUCGUCAGCUCGUGCCGUGAGGUGUCGGCUUAAGUGCCAUAACGAGCGCAACCCUUAUCUUUAGUUACUAACAGGUUAUGCUGAGGACUCUGUCGAGACUGCCGUCGUAAGAUGUGAGGAAGGUGGGGAUGACGUCAAAUCAGCACGGCCCUUACGUCCGGGGCUACACACGUGUUACAAUGGGGGGUACAGAAGGCAGCUAGCGGGUGACCGUAUGCUAAUCCCAAAAGCCUCUCUCAGUUCGGAUCGAAGUCUGCAACCCGACUUCGUGAAGCUGGAUUCGCUAGUAAUCGCGCAUCAGCCACGGCGCGGUGAAUACGUUCCCGGGCCUUGUACACACCGCCCGUCAAGCCAUGGGAGCCGGGGGUACCUGAAGUACGUAACCGCAAGGAUCGUCCUAGGGUAAAACUGGUGACUGGGGCU
rnacentral:rRNA from 1 species